AUGGACCUGGAAGAUUUUACUACUGCUUGCAAACUCCCGCAGUGGGAAAGCGUUAAUGAUCCCCACAAAUCUGAAUUUAGAGAUUUCCUUGCUAGUAUUACUGUGGGAGAAUCUAGGGAUAUAACACAAGCUACCAUAGGGAGCAUUCAUUUUCCCGCUAUACAUUAUUUUGCUCUCUUCAUUGGUAGAUGCAUUAACGGUAAAGAUGAAGCAUGUCAUAUGUAUGUCCCUGAUCUUUGUGUCCUCAGGAGUGUCGUGUUAGGUUAUAAAGAUUAUAACUUGGGGGCAAUAGUUGCACGUAGGUUGCAUAAAAAUGAUAGAGCUAGAGAUUUAUUUGAAGGAAUUUAUGCGACCCGUGUGGCCAAUUAUCUUGGUAUAGCCCCACGAGAGGGUGAUAUGAUGUUUCCUCCUACUUAUUUAGAUUAUGACGCUAUGGUCAAACAUCAUUUUUUUAAGAUGAAUGAAUAA
rnacentral:rRNA from 1 species